rnacentral:rRNA from 1 species
AGUGAACGCUGGCGGUAGGCCUAACACAUGCAAGUCGAACGGCAGCACAGUAAGAGCUUGCUCUUACGGGUGGCGAGUGGCGGACGGGUGAGGAAUACAUCGGAAUCUACUUUUUCGUGGGGGAUAACGUAGGGAAACUUACGCUAAUACCGCAUACGACCUACGGGUGAAAACAGGGGAUCUUCGGACCUUGCGCGAUUGAAUGAGCCGAUGUCGGAUUAGCUAGUUGGCGGGGUAAAGGCCCACCAAGGCGACGAUCCGUAGCUGGUCUGAGAGGAUGAUCAGCCACACUGGAACUGAGACACGGUCCAGACUCCUACGGGAGGCAGCAGUGGGGAAUAUUGGACAAUGGGCGCAAGCCUGAUCCAGCCAUACCGCGUGGGUGAAGAAGGCCUUCGGGUUGUAAAGCCCUUUUGUUGGGAAAGAAAAGCAGCAGGUUAAUACCCCGCUGUUCUGGCGGUACCCAAAGAAUAAGCACCGGCUAACUUC